CCCACACACUCCAUCUACAGGCCGUAGAACUGGAUUUUCCUCAGCUGGCGCGGGCAUGCAUGUCGAGAUUUUCUUCCUCCCGUUAAACCCCAGCUUCUUCCAAAUAUCGUACCACUAUACCACCUUCUUGUAGAAUUGAUCUUUUUAUUCCUUCUUUUAAAAAUCUACACUUCCACCCUUCUAUUUGAAUUACGAAGCCAAGCAAGUUGAAAAAUUCAAACAUUUGGCAAUCUUGAGGUGCUAUUCUGAGUCAAAAGCUGCUUACCUAACUUUCAAAUGCCUUUUGAUGACUUUGGGAGAGAUUUGCUUGGCACAUUAAAAAUGGACCCUUCUGAAUACAAUUCAGAAACUCAAAGUGUAGCCUAUGAUAUCCAUUUUUUUUUUUGUUGUUAUUUUUCUAUCAGCAAUCAACUUCACAAGUUGAUUUCAGAAGUUUCCAUUUUUCUUUCUGCUGUAUGUUUUACCUUAAACAAACACAGCUCUAUAUGUGCAAGCAACAGCAAAGUUGUAUGCUGUCAUUUUUCUCUCGAUGGAAGUUAUUGAGUAUUGCAAGGCAUGACAAGAAGGUUUCUGGUGUGUUAUUGGGGGUUCUAAUGGCCUCUACCAACAAAGCUUCUGUGAUUCUAUUAACAUGCAUAUCACAGCCAUCAAACUGGCUGGAUCCUUGAAUUACUUCUUGUGAUCUCAAGAGUACGAGCAUAUAUUAAUGCAAAAGCCAAGCUACUUCUCACAGGCACAUCUGGGCAUACCUCAAAUGAGAAGUUCCUUGAUUUCCAUCAUAAGAGACAUGAUUUUUUCUGUUCCUGCAACAUAACAGUGAGAUUCAUCAGUAUUCCCAUGUUCUGAAGGCCAAUUCCUCAAAACUCUUUCUUUGUUCAGUUUUUGAAGCCUUAUUCGAAUGGAUUUCUCAUCUUUUCAAUCAUGGCUCUCUAAUUGAGUAGGGAGGUACUGGACAAGUGAGAUUUCAGCAAAGACUUGGGACAUCUACUGGCUGCAGAGCAGAAAAUGUUGUCUGCAUCUGCGAUGGGGAGACUCUCAAGCUAGAUAUAUUUCUUAUAGGAUACGAAUUUUAAUAGCCAUUUCAAGAAUAAGUUUACAAUAUUGAAGCUGCUUUCCCCUUGAGAUGUAUUAUCCAUUAUCCUUUGAAUAGUUUCUCAUUUUGCCUGGAGAAGUCACUAACCAGGGACUUCAAUCAUUUCAUUCCCUGGGGCACUCGGUGGCGAUGCAGUUCACGGGAAAGCAAAUGGAUAUCACGGGGCCUCCAUCUGUCAAGACUGUCUAGGUGUGGCAUACAUUCAUGAGCUCAGCUCCAGGCAAAACAAGUCCCACCGUUCAUCCAUGCUAUUCCAUUCUUUUCAUUAUUAACGUGGGUGGGGGCGAGGCGGCAGUGAUGGAUAUUAAUCAAUAUUUGGAUCAUGUACAUAGUAGUUUAGACAAGAAUGGAAUGAAGUUGAAUGGAAUUAGUCUUUUCCAUUUUACAAAUUUACCGCACAAUUUUUCAUUUCAUUUCACUAUCAUUUCAUUCCAUUCUAGUGUACCAAACAUAGGUUAAAGUUGACGGUGGUUCUAAAUGCUAAUGAGUGAGGACAGUUGUUAAUUACAUGGACUGAAUUAAGCUGUUGUCGAGUUUUAAA